rnacentral:rRNA from 1 species
GAUGAACGCUGGCGGCGUGCCUAAUACAUGCAAGUCGAACGAACAGAUAAGGAGCUUGCUCCUUUGACGUUAGCGGCGGACGGGUGAGUAACACGUGGAUAACCUACCUAUAAGACUGGGAUAACUUCGGGAAACCGGAGCUAAUACCGGAUAACAUAUUGAACCGCAUGGUUCAAUAGUGAAAGGCGGCUUUGCUGUCACUUAUAGAUGGAUCCGCGCCGUAUUAGCUAGUUGGUAAGGUAACGGCUUACCAAGGCAACGAUACGUAGCCGACCUGAGAGGGUGAUCGGCCACACUGGAACUGAGACACGGUCCAGACUCCUACGGGAGGCAGCAGUAGGGAAUCUUCCGCAAUGGGCGAAAGCCUGACGGAGCAACGCCGCGUGAGUGAUGAAGGUCUUCGGAUCGUAAAACUCUGUUAUCAGGGAAGAACAAAUGUGUAAGUAACUGUGCACAUCUUGACGGUACCUGAUCAGAAAGCCACGGCUAACUAC